rnacentral:rRNA from 1 species
AACGAACGCUGGCGGCAUGCCUAACACAUGCAAGUCGAACGAGACCUUCGGGUCUAGCGGCGCACGGGUGCGUAACGCGUGGGAACCUGCCCUUAGGUUCGGAAUAACUCCCCGAAAGGGGUGCUAAUACCGGAUAAUGUCUUCGGACCAAAGAUUUAUCGCCUUUGGAUGGGCCCGCGUUGGAUUAGCUAGUUGGUAGGGUAAAAGCCUACCAAGGCGACGAUCCAUAGCUGGUCUGAGAGGAUGAUCAGCCACACUGGGACUGAGACACGGCCCAGACUCCUACGGGAGGCAGCAGUGGGGAAUAUUGGACGAUGGGCGAAAGCCUGAUCCAGCAAUGCCGCGUGAGUGAUGAAGGCCUUAGGGUUGUAAAGCUCUUUUACCCGGGAUGAUAAUGACAGUACCGGGAGAAUAAGCUCCGGCUAACUCCGUG